UCUAACUUUGGUAUUUUGUUGCUUUGAACCCUGCUUUGGAUGCUGCUGUUCUGUCUAGCAACUGUAAAGUUCUGUCCAUUACUUCCAUGUCAUUUUUGUAAUGCUUAGGAGUCCAAACACUUUUCUUACUGCUGCUACUGUCCAGUUCAGUUGCUGCCAAUCACCCUCUUUUGCAUGUGUUUCCCUCCCAUCUAUUAGAUGGACUUAAAACAUGUGGUGUUUGAUAUGGUGUUUGUUAUGGCUCAAUCUGUCCAUUUUUCAUUUAGCCCUUGGCUUAGAUCCUUGUAGCCACUUGGCUUAUUUUCUGUUAGUUUACAGGUGCACCUUCAGCAAAGCGGCGGCGUGUGCGAGGGCCAACACGUGGAAAAAGAAUUAGAAGGAUAAUUGCUGAGAAUAAAGGGGAGAGGAUCUCAGCUUAUGUGACGCCGGAAAUCUAUGGUACAUGGGAGCAGGGUGAUGGUGGCUCAAAUAUAUGAUUGACGCUUAACGGAGUAUCCUGCAGUUCUACUUUUGGUUAUUGACUAUGAAGAUCAAAGUUGGAUUUUGGUUGCGAACGUGCAAAUGUUUUUGGGUUAUCCAAUUGUUGAGGUUGAACUUUUUAGUAUUUUGCAAUCUAGGAGUUUUGAUACAUUUUGUUAUUGAGCUUGGAUUUUUUUUUUUAAUUUCCCCCUCAUGGUGACAUGUCGUUAUUUUACGUUUUAGGAAUUUGGAUAAAAGUUGUUUUCUAAUUACUUGGUGGACAUCUCUAUUUAUGAAAGUUUGGAUUUAUUUUUUGGAA